AGAGCCCCAACCAGACUGUCUGGUGAAUCUGGACAAGAUGGCCCUUCUGAGUCAGUCUGGACUUCAGACUGAGGCGCACUCCUUAUACUGAAGACCAGCUGAGACAUCAGCUUUGUGGACGGAACAAUUUCUGGAUUCUUGGACUUUUUGUUUACAGCCUGCCAUUGUUGGAUUAGCUACUAGCUGGGUCACAACACCCAGAAUCCUUUUGUUUCUUCUUCUUGCCAAAUUCCUUCCUAGAACGUCCAACUCACUGUUGAAUAGAAGUAUCUAUUGAAGGUAGUAUUCUCAUCUUCCUAUUCAUCUGUGGGCUUUCGUGGAUGCCCUCUAUCGGCAGGAGGUAUGUUCCUUCUUGAUCCUCCCUCAACAACUGUUUUCCUUAUGAAGAGGUACUAGAUUUAUGUACCCCAUACUUUGUGUGUCUAUUGGGAUGGCCAAGUGUUUUUUAAACAUUUAUCUCACUAAGAUGUGCCUUAUUAAUUUUCUGCAUCGGUCUUGUUUUUGAGGCAGCCUGUCCCCGAGUCUAGCUCUUCACAUCUUGAUGCCUUAGGUUCCUAGGGUGAACCUCGAAUGUUAAGAGGAUCUUAAUCUUGUGCUGCUGCAAGAUCCCUCUGCUAUCUCUUUGUCGAAGCCUUGCAUCUGUAUCAGUAAGAUCUUCGGUCUGUGGUUUCCUGUUUGUGUCUUUACCUUUUGACACCAGGCUGAGCUACAGUUGCGCCCUAGGCUCAAAGGCUCAUCUGCUCUCUGUGCAGGGCCCCAGCCUCCAGAGUCAGUGCUCCCUCAGGACGUCCCUCUCACGUAGUCCAGUUCCAGAGACCAAGCUCCUGUCGAUUCAGAUCAUGAGUGUUGCGGAGCUGCUCUGUGCAGCAAGAACCUUCCAAACCCUCACAGUCUGGAGCACCUCAGGGCCCUUUUGGUGGGGGCUUCCACCUCUCUGAAGGGAGAGGAAAGGAGAUUCCUUAUGAAUGGCUUACAUUACCCGUGGGUAACCAAGUGGAUAACUAACUCACAGUCACGUCAGGGAUGGGAUGGAGGACAUAAAUUGGUGGGGUCACUUUGGCUUUUACCAGUGAAGUGGAGGCUGCAAUUUCAUAGCCAGACAACUUGACAUGGGAACCCGAGGGGACGGGGGAAUCGUCCUCCAUGCAGCAAAGCUGAAUGGAACCCAACUGUACGUUAAUGGGAGACAUAAACGGCAAACUGUGGUGCAUUCGUGGGGAAAAGAAACGGCAAACUCUGCGUUAGCAGGAGAGAUGAAAUGUGGUAGGAACAGUGUGAGAGACCAACGCCUUUGUAGUAGUAAAGAUGUGCAAACCAUGGCUCAUGUUUCGAUGUAGCAAAGUCCCCGACAAGGGCUGGAGGACCACACCCCUUAAAAGAUGCACAGAAUUGCCUAUACCAAGGCAAGCAAACAAAACAAAACAAAACAACAACAACAACAACAACAACAAAACUAUAGGCAACAUAUAAAGAAGGGAAGGGAUGGAGAAUGGGAAUGUUCCAGAUAGGAUUGCUGGGGAUGACAGGGGCGGAAAAAGACCAGAAGAAAUAGCCACGGGGUCUGUAUGAGGAGGGGCGGACAGCUGGGCUGGGCUGGGUGCUGUCACAGCACUGUCACAGCACCCAGCCUAGCCCAGCUGUCCCUUGCAUCAUCGUUUGCACAAUUUAUAUGUUCUUUCAGGUACAGAAAAAAAUGUUUUAUACCUUGAUGUUAGGCAAUACUUCCUGAGAGCCUGGGCUAGCCUGGGCUACAACUCUUCUCCCUUCCUCCAGGUUCCUUCAUGCUAAAAACAGAUUUAAGCAAAACCCCCGCUAAGAGCUAAGACAGCAAGAAUGAGCCCUGGGGACAUACUGAGAGAAGCUCAGAAGGAGAGAAAAUGCCAAGCAAGGCCUGCUGGGAAGCCACCAGAAAAGAGAAGCCUCCCCUAGAGAAGGACACAUGACCCAGAUUGCU
rnacentral:lncRNA from 1 species